AACGGCCAUAUCACGUUCAAACACUGGAUCUCUUACAAUCAUCGAAGUUAAGCAACGUCGAGUCAGGUCAGUACCUAGAUGGGUGACCUCUUUGGAAUACCAAGUGCU